rnacentral:rRNA from 1 species
AUGACGAUGCCAAAGUACAAGGAAGGCCUAGGGUUUAGGGAUCUUGAGAUUUUUUAUCUCGCCCUUUUAGCCAAGCAGGCGCGGCGAAUACUGCAAGAUCCAACAACAUUGAGUGCCUGGGUGUUGAAGGCGGUCUACUUCCCAACUAGUGACAUAUUGAACGCAGAAGUUGGUAACCAUCCCUCUGAUGUAUGGAGAUCGAUUUGUGAAGGA